GAACUUCAAAGCCAGGGCUUGCCAGUCUCCUACAAUAAGAAAAAUGCCAUGGGCCAAUCUAAUGAACUAGUAGUAGAAUAUUUGGCCACAGUUGUAGAAAUGCAGAGACUAACAUACUGCCACAGGUGAGGUUUUGUCCACAGUUCCAGAAGGACA